rnacentral:misc_RNA from 1 species
GGCAGGAGGUGUCAUACCUCCUCCCGCGACCUAUUUUGAAAAGGUCCAAGCUAUACUAAAGAAGUACGACAUUCUUUUCAUCGCGGAUGAGGUUAUAUGUGGAUUUGGAAGGCUCGGGACAAUGUUCGGAUGUGAAAAGUACAACAUUAAACCUGAUCUUGUCUCUGUAGCAAAGGCUCUUUCCUCCGGAUAUAUGCCAAUUGGGGCUGUCCUUGUAAGCCCUGAAGUCUCCGAUGUCAUAUAUUCUCAAAGCAACAAGCUCGGUACAUUUUCCCAUGGAUUUACUUACUCGGGGCACCCUGUCUCGUGUGCAGUUGCCUUGGAAACACUGAAGAUCUACAAGGAAAGAAAUAUUAUUGAGCAAGUAAACAGAAUAUCACCAAAGUUCCAAGAAGGUCUGAAGGCGUUUUCUGAUAGUCCCAUAAUCGGAGAGAUAAGGGGAACUGGUUUGCUACAUGGUACAGAGUUUACAGAUAACAAAUCUCCAAAUGAUCCAUUCCCUCCUGAAUGGGGUAUCGGUGCAUAUUUUGGAGCACGGUGUGAGAAGCAUGGAGUGUUGGUACGCGUUGCUGGUGAUAACAUAAUGAUGUCUCCUCCCUACAUUCUUAGUUUGGAAGAAAUUGAUGAGUUGAUAAUCAAAUAUGGGAAAGCAUUGAAGGAUACUGAAAAUAGAGUAGAAGAACUCAAGUCUCAG